GCUUUCAUGGAAUUGGAAAGAGUUUAUGGUUAUGGGUUGUCAGUGGGAUGAUUUAUAUUACCCAAUAUUAUGGUUAUUCUAUUUGUUAACUCUUCCCAUCCUCGUCUUUCCAAAAGCUAUCUUCGUAUUUCUUAGGAAACAGUAUACUUACAAGAGCUUAGUUGGAAACAGAAAACUGGUAACUUGUGUGGCAUGGAUUCUGUCGGAGCUAUACAAUCUUCCACUUGUAUGUUUCUCAAUAAUUGUUUAUUUGUUUUACCUCAUAUUAUGUCCUUGGCUUUCUGGCCAAGUUUUCACCGAAGGAGAAGAAAGGGGAUACAUGACCUACAGGGGUUGGGUGCUGAGAUUCAACGAGAGGCAAAAGCUAGACUUUCAUGGAUUUCCAGAUAUAAUGGUGGUAGUUCUUCCUCAUCUUUACUUUGUGUUGCCUACAAUAAUAGUGAUUGGAGCACUAGUGGCUGAGAGGGCAGUAUUCCAAGAUCAUCUUCGAGCUCUUUCUGCAAAAAAGGAAGAUGAUUAUUUGGUGAAGAAUAAUGUAUCCGCACCGACUAGUGGAAGAAAUAAGACUCUCACACUACUUCAUAGGCGGUGGAUUAGGAAAAUGCUCCUGUUAAUAUCUUUGGCGAUUUGUUGGAAGCAUUUCUUGAACUGCAGAUCUCUUGUCAAAGCUUAUGCUAUGAAUCCAUUUAUCCAUUUCCCUGUCCAUAGCAUGUCAGUUCCUAUCCUGUUAGCUUAUACUAUCUACAAGACUAGCAGAGCUGAGUAGAAUUUUCGGAUGUGAACUACAUGUAGAGCUACAAGUUCAAUACAUCAGACUAAAACCUACACCGGCUUAUGCUUCACCGGCAGUUAUUGAUCACAUUAAGCAUCCUAUGAGAGCCAAAAUGUGAAAGCCUCAGAGGUUGCAGCUAGCACAAAGAGUUUGUUCCAGACGAAUUUCUUGGUCAUCAGAAAAAAGUAGACUAGUAGAAAACAUUGGGUACUGUUUGUUUGACAUUGAAAUGCUGGUGCAAGAAAUCGAUCUUUUACGUAGUUUUACAAUCAGUUGAAAAAAAAUAUGCAGCAUCUUGUUGUG
rnacentral:misc_RNA from 1 species